GAGGCCGUAUCGUCCGGCGAACGGCACUCCAAACCGGGAGUAUUUUUUAUCAAGCAUCAACACAUCGUAAUGGACAACAAUCUGCUCAGAGCCUGUGUGGACCGAGACAGAAGG
rfam:Bacillus sp. WF146 contig035, whole genome shotgun sequence.